AUGGUUAGUGAUAGUGAUGCUAAUAAUGUUUAUAAAUUUGUUGUUGAAAUGAAAUAUGUAGUGGAUAUAUAUGUCGAGCAUAAAGUAGUUGAUGAUUGUGUUAAUGCUAAUGAUGAUGAUGGUGCUGUUAAUGUUGAUUAUGGUGUUAAUGUUAAUAUUGAGGAUGCUAAUGAUAUAUCAUUUGAUGAUACUGAGGAUGUGAGGGCUCUUGGGUUGGAUGAGAGAUUUGAUUGA